rnacentral:lncRNA from 1 species
GAGAGAGAAGUACUACAACUUGACCCUUUGAGACUAACCCUUGUGUUUGAGUUCCUUGAUGUAGUCUCAAAGGUGCAUUGAAAGGGAAAGGUGAACUUGAACCAUGCAAAGACUUCCACUGCACUCCGGUAUUAGUGUACUCACCUCCAAGUUCAUUCUUAUGCUCUUAUUGCCUUUUUUGCUCUUAAUUGACAAUUUUGGUAAGGCAAUGGGGUUAAAGGGCCAAUAAUGAUCCUGUUUUGGUGCUUAAUGCCAAAGGGGGGGAAAUUAAGGCUAAAGCAAAUGGAUCAGCUACCACUUGUGAAUUUUGAAAACAAUAGAGUUAGAACUUUUUAAUUUGUCAAAAUACUCUUAUUGCAAAAAUUGGUCUCUUGUGGGGAGAAUUUAUGAUUAUGGGAAAAAGGGGGAGUUUUGGAUCUUAAUCAAUUUCACUCUUGGAAUAUCUCUCUUUAUGCCCAAACAAGUGAGUUUGACUUAGAGAUAGGAAAAUGAAUUUGAUUUGCAAAAACAAACCAAGUGGUGGCAAAGAAUGAUCCAAAUAUGCCAAAUUAGAGUAAAAAACAAUUUGGUCCUUAUUUGCAUCGAUGUUGCACUUAUUUUUGUUGCUUCUUGAUGUGUUGGCAUAAAUCACCAAAAAGGGGGAGAUUGAAAGGGAAAUGUGCCCUUGGGCCAUUUCUAUAAUGUUUUGGUGAUUAAGUGUCCAACACAUAUUAAGUGAGUCGAUUAUGUGCCAAACAGGCAAGAAGUGCAAAUCAUGUAACAAGGUACAUUUCUAGACUUAGUACAUUGUGUUGAGUACUAACAUAUAUUGUCUAAAGUGCUAGAAAUAGAGAAAAGAAGAAAAGAAAAGAAUUGCAAAAGACAUGGCUGGGUGCAGCGAAGUCCAGCUCGGCUUGGCACAUCGGACUGUCCGGUGCGCCAGGCCAACCUCCGGUGAACAGGCCACUCUCGGAAAAAAUCGGUGGCGUACGGCUAUAAUUCAUCGGACUGUCCGGUGGUGCACCGGACUGUCCGGUGAGCCAACGGUCACCAGCGCAACGGUCGGCCGCGCAAUCCACGGGCGACGCGUGGCCCGUGCCAACGGUCGGCAGGGGGCACCGGACUGUCCGGUGCGCCAACUGGCCUGAAGGUUCAACGGUCAUCUGCGCUAGAAUAGGAAAGAGAUCGGCACCAGACCGUCUACAGUGAUUGUCCGGUGGUGCACCGGACCGUCUACAGUGACUGUCCAGUGGUGCACCGGACUGUCCGGUGUGCCACCCGACAGAAGGCAAGGAUGACCUUCCUUGUUGGCCUCCAACGGCUCCUAGCUGCCUUGGGGCUAUAAAAGGGACCCCUAGGCGUAUGGAGGAGUCACCCAAGCUUACAAGAAACAUUCUAAGACUUCAAGACUCCAACUUCGCGCAUUUGAUUCUUUGAGAUAGUGACUUGAGCUCCAUUUGAGUUGUGAACUCCGUGGGUUGUGUUUUGAGCUCAAGUUGUGACUUGUGUGCGUGAUUGUGCUGUGAUUUGAGUCUUGUGUGUGUUGCUCUCCCCUCCCUUACUUCUGUGCUUCUUUUGUGAUCAUCAUUGUAAGGGCGAGAGGCUCCAAGUUGUGGAGAUACCUCACAAACGGGAGAAAGACUAAGAAAGGAAAAAUCAUGGUAUUCAAGUUGAUCAUCGGAUCACUUGAAAGGGGUUGAGUGCAAUCCUCGUCCAUUGGGACGCCACAACGUGGAAGGAGGCAAGUGUUACUUGGCCGAACCACGGGAUAAAAUCACGUGUCUCUUGUGUGCUUUCUCUUUGAUUGUCUGUUCACAAGAGCUCGUUUCAAGCUACUUAGUCGUUCUAACUUUUAUAACUAAGUUUCGUGACUAUUAGUGUUGAAUUUUACAGGAUCACCUAUUCACCCCCUCUAGGUGCUCUCAGUAUCGUAAUUAGGGGUACCUGUAUUACGCCCCUAAAACAAGCUUAACCCCAAGACCAACAUCAGACGCAUUCCUCGAGGUCAAUAGAGUAUAAAACACGCUUCGCCCAAAGCACCUCCCGACGGUCACCCAUAACUCCGCUUCACCCGAGCCUGCCUCGGACAUGGUACAUACUCGGGAGAAUCCUCGCCUCUGCUGAGGUCCCCUCUCCCUGGAACUGUUGUCUCCUCGCCCCGAGCCCGUCUCGAGCAAGGAGGACAACCCCAAGGCUGGUCUGAGUCGAAGGCCGCAGGAGACAUAAGCAUUCAAUGCAUAUACCUACCUCACGUAACAUCGCAGGUGAACAUGAGAGACAAGACCGCGGUCCUGUCGGACUUCACCAACUACGAUGAUGCAUGAGGCCACUGUUCCCCUACGCUACCUGCUAACUCCUAAUGGGACACACAUACGACAAAAGUGAGAGCUGGUCCUCGGGCGCUAGCUCUGCCUCGCCCAAAGUCGGACUCAACCUUGGGACAAACUCUGGCUCGUCCGAGCCCGGUCUCGACUACCUGCUCCAUACGAAUCCCGUAGGAGACUACUCCUUCAACUGUGUCGCGCACGUCUACGAAUCCUUGAGCGGACUCGGUCAUGGUCUCGGGCGAACUUCCACCUUGCUCGAGCCCGGCCUCGGUAGGCCUCUAUAAGGCCGGUAGGCCUCUAUAAGUACUAUAUUAUUUAUAUCAGUGAUAUUAUUUAUAUUAGUGUAGCCAUCAGUGUAUUUAUAUAUUCCGUGAGAUCAAACCAUAGAUUCUUUCAUUCAGCUCUGAUGGCUUCGUUCCAUUGCAAACCACCUCCCGUUCUGAUUUCUGCGGGCGGAAUUCCAUAAGGCCCUCCCCCCUCCCCUAUCCUCCUCCCCUUGCCACUCCAAUUCCUCUGCAAAAUUUUCUCAUGGCAGCCGACGUUUCCAUCCGCACUCGAUCCGCCUCAACCACCCGCUAAUUCCUCCUAGUUCUAGACUUCUAGUCUCCUCUCUCUCUCUCUCUCUCUCUCUCUCCUGCGCCGACUCAUCUUCAUCCUCGUCUCACCUCCCUGCUGCUGCUGACGCUGCUGCCGGCAAGAUCAAAUCGUUCAAAAGGUGCGGCCUUUUCUCCUCGCCGGCGCGUUCGUUCUAACGCAAUCUGCAAAGAUUUGUUGUUUUUUUACUGCUAUGUGUUGAUGUGGGAGACGCCGUCCUCACCCGAUUCGAUGUGGGAUUGCUCCGCGGAAUUUUGGGCGGGACUGAUGCCUCUUUCACAGGGUUUUUCUUUUUCUUUUUGGGCGAUUUCGUGCUCAAAUUGACAUCUUCUAACCAGUCCAAUGCACUUUUCGUACCCGUGUACAAGACCCUGGAUUUCGGCGAAUUCUAGAUGGAUCAUGUGAGUGCUCUUUUCCCAUGACCGUGGAAAACAAAUACCUCCUGCUGCUUUCUGAAAGCAGGCUGUGAAAAGAAAAAUAUGACUUUGGCCUGUGAAUUGUGAUCUUGUUAUUCUAGGCCUCUACUAUCUUCAGUGGUGAUACAAUCAUACAAUACACUGUACAGACUGUUCGUGUUAUGUGAAGUUGCGUCGCUCCUGCUUUUCCAUUUCAAUCAAUGUUGUUAACUUUACUAAUAUAUGAUUGCAGGUGUUUUAGGUGAUUGGUGCUUUCGACCUCAUUAGUGCCUUUUGUUCAAUUGCUGGACCCAAGGAGCAGAGUUCUGUCGACAUGGCAUCUCCAAGAGGAAGGAUGUCAUUUCCCCUUCGUUCCUUUCUGAUGAUCUGCCUCAUGGCUCAGCUGGGAGCUUCCAAUGUUGUACUCAUGGCGAACAACACUACCCUGUCGUUCGACGACGUCGAGGCAAUUUUUAGUGAGUGCUACACAUUAUUACACUGUCUCCAUGAGGCAACUUUUAGUGUGUGCUACACAUUAUUACACUAUCUCCAUGUAUCUCUGUACAUCUCAAUAGCAAUUUGAUAUUCUAAUGGCAACACAAGCAAAGCUAGUUAGCUGUGGUUUUUCUCAAACACACAAGUGAGUUGCCUAUCAUUAUAUUAUUAAGAAGAAGAAAAACCGUAUAACAAACACGUAGUUCAAUCAGACACACCAGUGCAUUCUUGAUUAGCUGUUGUUGUUAUGUUAUGUUUUCUUUAAUGGUAAAUUGUCCUGUUCUUCGCGAUUGGUGAAUAAUGGGUUGAUUUCUUUUUUUAUUUCCUUUAGCCCAGCUAGUUAGAUGGCAUCAUUCGUGGAUCUUUAUGAUUCUUUUUUUUUUCUUCCUGCAGCUCCAGCAGUGAAAGGUUCAGGUGUAAAUGGUGUCCUUUAUGCUGUGGAACCUAUGGAUGCAUGCAGUCCAUUGAAAACAAAAGCGAUAGGAGGCUCUGUCUCACCAUUUGCGUUGGUUAUAAGAGGCGGUUGCCAUUUCGAUGACAAAGUUAGAAAUGCUCAGAAUGCUGGAUUCAAGGCUGCUGUAGUAUAUGAUACUGAAGACAACGGUGUCCUUGUUUCAAGUAAUGAUCCAGACAUCAUUUCUUUUUUUUACCAUAGCAUCAGUUACAUGCAAUUCUUUAUCAGUACGCGGCUACAAGCAUUUGAUUAUUUCUUGUCCAUAAUUCUGAUUAAACUGUUAAGAGGAAAAAUAAAUUUGUAAAGCAGCUCUAAACUAUUAUAUCGGUUCCAUUGAAACUGAAAGGUAGAGAACUGAAGUUAUCAAACCUCAAUGGUAAAACUUUUACCAUUUAGAGUAGUUGGUGAGUGCAUAUACUUGCAAUAUUAAUUAAGCCAGGAUUAUUGCAGUGGCUGGAAGCUCGUCUGGAGUCCACAUAUAUGCCGUGUUUGUCUCUAAAGCGUCAGGGGAGGAGCUGAAGAAAUAUUCAGGCCAAACUGACGCAGAGUUGUGGAUAAUACCAACAUACGCGAACUCGGCUUGGUCAAUCAUGGCAAUUUCAUUUAUAUCACUGCUUGUUAUGUCUGCUGUCCUAGCCGCGUGUUUCUUUGCGAGGAGACACCAGAUAAGACGGGACAGGGCUCGACUUCCCCAAACUCGGGAGUUCCAUGGAAUGAACAGCCGGUUAGUUAAAGCAAUGCCAAGUCUUAUUUUCACGAAAGUGCAAGAAGACGACUGCACAUCAGCAACAUGCGCCAUUUGCUUGGAAGACUACAGUGCUGGAGAAAAGCUAAGGGUUCUACCUUGUCGACACAGUAUGUUUCUCUCACAUCUAUUUAACUGAUGGUUUGGUAGUUUGUGGUCUAUUCAUUUCAUCUGAACUGAAUAGUUCUGUAUUUUUUUGCUAGCUUGAGAUUUCAGGUUGAUUGUAUAUUAUUACCAUACAAGAUUUCACACGCAUUCAGCAACUUUAUUUUGCUUCCUGGUUUAAUGAUGUUGCGUACAUUGAAUUUUAGUUGAGUGCAUGCACUUAAAACAUCACCUUGGUAUACUUGCUAACUGCAUCCUCAUGGAUCUCUCUUCUACAUAACUAGAAAUCCCUAUCCUUUAUAACUCAUGACCUGAGGCUUUGGUUGUUUCACUCUGCAGAGUUCCACGCAGCCUGUGUGGACCUAUGGCUCACCUCCUGGAGAACAUUCUGCCCCGUAUGCAAGCGGGACGCGAAUGCUGGAACACCAGACCCCCCUGUAUCAGAGUCGACGCCUUUGCUCUCAUCAUCCGCCAUUCGCUUACCAGAACCAACCGCUUCGGCUUCCUUCCGGUCUACAGUGGCAGCAGCAGCGUCUCCCCCCAGGCCAAUCAGCCGGCAUCCGUCACCAUCACGGUCCAUAUCCCGCAAGCACUCCGUUUCGGGUUCCAGCAUCCCUGGCACCCCUAUCCCCAGGUUUCAUGCAAGCUCAUCAUCUCCUACCUGCACAAGUGGAAGCAGUUUGGACCUCGCAAACAUGCCGUCGUCUCCAUGGCCUCGCGCUUCGCACCUUGCAUCUGCUCACUCUUCGUGCGGUGGCCGCCUGUCCCCGCCGAUCCACAUCAGGAAUACCUCUGCAGCGCACGUCUCGCGCUCUGCCUAUGGAUCUCCCAGCCGUUACGUAGGCUCGUCGCACAUGUCCCGUGGAUCUCCGAGUUGCUACUACCUUGGAUCUUCUUCAGGGCAGCAGCAUCCUUACCUGAGGCACUGCACCUUGUCAGGCACGAGCCUGUUCACCAUGGUGCCCCAAUCACCGCAACAGAACCAGCUGCAGCACGGUGGAGACUCGGAAAAAGAUCUGUCAGCUGCUGCACCAUUCCGUCAGCUCUACUACCUGCAGCAUUGUCCAGAUUCUGGCACGUCGUCUCAGUCGCUUCCAGGGUGCUGAUUCUUCAUUCUUGCUGCAAAAUUCACCAUUUUAACAUUGAUGGUGGCUCCAGUAAAGCUCCCGGCCGUGAGGAAUCUUACAUGGCACCGAAUUGACAUGUGGAUUUGAGCUCCUCAGUUCACCAUGAUGAUGAGAGAAAAAAGGUGCGACAGAAUUGCUUGUAAGAAGAGAGAAUUGCACCCCCCAGAAUGUGUGGCUUCAUCUUGAAGAAGCAAAUGCCCAUGUCGGGUUUCACCAGCGUUUAGCGUGUACUGAUACAGCUCUGUAGUAAUUCUAGUUGCUGUUUGUCUAUCGAGGUUUGAGCCGGUAGCAUUCCUUCCUCUCUUUUUUGUUUUCCUAAUUUUGAAUUAGUUAUAUGACAGACAAGGUUUUCAAGAAAAGAAAUAACAAGUUUUACCCCUGCAUUUUUACAGAGAGGUAUGUUGAACUCAGGAUCUUUGCCUUGCCUCGAUGGGAUGGUUUUUUACCACUGUGUUGUUUAUGGUCAGUGAAAUGUGCAUGAAGCCUCGAUGGCACUUGUUCUCCCGUUCAGUAUGAACUACUUAGUAAGUCGCUAGCAGACUAGCAAAUUCACUAUAGGAAAUUUAAAUUUAUGGGGGAGUUGCUCUGAUGAGGCGGAAAGAUUGUUGGUGCCAAGAAACGCAGCAGCAGAUCGACUUUAUUGAUAUUCAUAAUUCGUACAUAAAAGUUUGGCAAACCCUACACCGCUUACAGAGAAAGAAAACUGGAAACAAGACACGAGCAGAGCAGGUAGUGUAGUGGCGGUAGUCGAGUACUGCUUGAUCUGGAUCGUUAAGCCGGGGCCGGGCGACCUAAUCCCAAGCGACGUCCACCGGCGGUGGGCUCGGCCAUGCCCUGCCGACCGCGGCCUGUCUGCUCCUCCGGCCCAGCACGGUUCACCUCCGCCACGCCCCGCGCGCUCGCGGGCAGGUCGACGGGCUCCGACUCCGCGAUGACGGCGUUCUUGUUGGUCCCCUCCUCGUGUGGUCCUUCCUGCUGCGAUGAGUACGGGGCGUCGGCGACGCGGCGGGCAGCGGCGAAGAGGUCGACGGGCUGGGAGUCGGCGAUCUUGCCGCCCUCCAGCGGCGUGCCGUCGAAGAACCCGGUCCGCAGCAUCUCGUCGUCGCCGGCCACCUUGGUAUGCGCCCUCCCGGGCUUGAUUUCGCGCUUGCUAUGCGCCAUAUCUAUCGCCGUGCGCUCUCUCUUCUCGCACAAGUAGCUAGCAAAAGCACUAGUGUAUGCUACGUUGUCGCAGCUGGAUGCCUGCGCCUGCACUAGCGUAUUUAGCUUAAGAGAGGUGGAGCGCGGCGCGGUGAAGGUUCGCGUCGUCGUCGUCGGGCCGGGACACGUCAGUUCCUUUGCGGCGGCGACGUGGCCGCCCACCGCUCUGCCCUUCUGCUGCGCUGGCCGUUGGGCAGCUUCUCAGUUGCAUGCAUGCAUAAAGAACACAUACGAUUUUGUAAUUGAAAAGUUUUUUUUUUUGUUUAAAAUUGUUUAGGAUCCUAAUUUUUUUCUAUAAGUUUAUGACUUUUAAGAUUUUAAAUUUAAAAUUUAUAAACAAUCUUACCAAGAGCAUAUAGACAUAGAAAUACAGUAAACAAUUUAUACUAAAACAUGUGAAAUUAUAUACCAUAUAUUAAAGGGUAGACGUUGUUAUAAGGAGUUCAACAAAAAAAAACUUUAUAGUUUCUCUAGGAUUUUAUAUGGAUUUUGCAACAUCACUUGUCUUGUCCGGCAAAAGAAAAGGAAAGAAUAAAGAAAAAGAAAAAGGUCACGGGCUUCAGGCUUCAGCCCAACCCAACAUACGGUGGCAGCGGCCAGCGGGCAGCGGCUGGUGGCGAGAUGCGGUCGCUGGCGCUAGCAGGUCGGGCCGUGGCCUCUUCGCCACCCACUCGUGCCUGCUCCGGCGACUAGAGAAGCGGCGCUACGUACAAGCGUGGUCUGUCUGAAGCGCGCGGGGAAGGCAGUGAAUGUCUGUUCGUCGAGCCAUGACGACGGCGAGCGCGCGAGAAGACAGGGAGAGGGAGAGGGACAGAGAAAGCGCCAACACCCCCAUGCAUUCGGAUCUCUUCUCCCAUGACUGACGUCGCCGCCACACCCCACAACCAACCGUCACCACAGAACGACUGGAAUUUGGGAGCUGUGUGUGAUUAAGCAAAACAAGGUUACUGGACAAAUAUGCGUAACUCAACAUUGGAAAAAUAGAAGCGCGCACACACAGAAAUAGUAGAGAUCGAGAGAGAGAGAGACGAUGGCAGGGCAACUCGACGCUUACACGAACAGUGCUCAAAUGAAACAAAAGCAGUACGUGUACGCGCGUACUCAAAUUACACACAACGACGACCCACAGAGAUAGAGAUGGAUGGGCAUGAAUGAUUAUGCGCCGGUGAGCUCCUCCUCCUUGUGCGUCUCGAUGACGACGUCAGAGGUGGGGUAGGCGUGGCAGGUGAGCACCCAGCCGGCGGCGAUCUGGCCGUCGUCGAGGUAGCUCUGGUCGGACUGGUCCACGGAGCCGGAGACGACCUUGCCGGCGCAGGAGGAGCAGGACCCCGCGCGGCAGGAGUAGGGCAGGUCGAUGCCGUCCUCCUCGGCCUGGUCCAGGAUGUACACGUCGUCGGGCACCUGCAGCUCCACCUCCCCCUCCGGCGUGAUCAGCUUCACGUUGUAGGUGGCCUGCGCGCGCAGCCUGCCCCUGCUGCUGGCGCUACGGCCCAUGAUGCCCACCUUGGCCGCAGGCAGCGCCACGGCGGUGGGCGCCGGCGCGGCACGGAGGGAGGACGGCGAGAAGAAGAAGGCCGGCGCGCGGGGGCUGCCUAGGACGGUGGCCAUUGUUGUCGAGGGGUCGGGGUACGGUGGUGUGGCGGCCGGUGCAGUUAGGGAGCUCUAGAUGGAGAGAGUGGGGCUGGGGAGAGCGGCUGCUGGAUAGAUGGCCAAUAGAUAGCUUCUCCUGCCCUCCCCUGCCCUGCCCCAGAUGACAAUACCAAUGCAAGGGAUGGAUAGGCUUAUCUUCUUGCAUUGCCGCCCCAAUUUUGGCCACCCGUUUUUAUCGCCCUUCAAACUCACGGGAAUUUUGCAUGCUGCGGAAAUUCAAAUUCACAUUAUUCAUGUGUAAUGUCGAUAUUCGCAUAUAAAAUAAUUCAUGGUAACUGAUUAUUGUGCGCGUGUGUAGGCCACGAGUCCCUUCAGGUCGUGGGACACGUGGGGUCAUGUGGCGCACGAACGAACUUUAUAGUUCGGUGUAACUUAUCAUUGUUUCUUUAGUUUUUUUUACUUAAAUUUAGUUCCGGCGGUUCCUGUUGAAUUUUUGAGGAGUUCCUCCCUUUUCGAGAAAGAGCCCAUAAAAAACCUCCCUUUUGGUAGUUUUUUCAAGGAGUUGUUGAAUGAGCCCUACCAGAGGAGGCCUUAGUCGCAUAAUCUUGGACAAGUUGUGAUAGAGUUAGAUGAGAACCAAAUAGAUCCACAGUCUCCUCAUUGCGACGGGGAGGCAGAGACAGGUGGUCCGAGGAACAAGUGUCAUCGACGUCGAAGUGGGCGACAAGCACUGGUGGUGGUGUAGUCGUGUAGAAGGGCGACAAUGGUGGAGUAGGGCAUUAGCAUUGAGAAGAGAUAAGGUUUUUAGUGUCAAUGAUGGCAUGUGAGGCCCACAUGUUUGAUUUUAAACAUUGUUUUUUUACUGUCAAUGGGGGAGAGAAGUUCUUCCCCAUCUAAGAUUUAUAUAUAUUACUUCUGUCUGAGAGAAACACAUGAGAUUACAUUAGUACGUGAAGUUCAUCAAAGUAUCCGAAGGGACCAGCCAGUGGAUAACAUUCUUGGUAGCAUAAGGACACGGGUAACAACUCGAUCUCGCUUAACAAUUUUUUGUGAAUCUUACUUGUUUGUUUCCUCUCUUGAGCCACUUAGGGUAGAAGAAGCACUGGGUGAUCUAGAGUGGAUAGUAGCAAUGCAAGAGUAAUUCAAUAACUUCACCCGGAAUGAAGUUUAGCCCUUUGUGGAAAGACCCAAGCAAAAUGUCAUUGGAACUAAGUGUGUUUUCCGCAACAUGCAAGAUGAACAUGGCUUGGUCACAAGAAACAAGGCGUGGUUGGUUGCUCAAGGCUUCACUCAAGUAGAAGGGCUUGAUUUUGGAGAGACAUAUGCACCAGUGGCAAUGUUAGAGUCAAUUAAAAUUUUGAUUGCUUAUGCAACUAACCAUGAUUUCAAGCUAUAUUAAAUGGACGACAAGAGUGCAUUUCUAAAUGGACCACUACAAGAGUUGGUCUAUGUGAAGCAACCAUCGGACUUUGAAGAUCAAAUAAGCCUAACCAUGUAUUUCUCCUCCAUAAGGUGCUCUAUGGGCUUAAGCAAUCUCCUAGAGCAUAGUAUAAAUGCCUUAAGGAGUUAUUGAUUAAAAAUGGCUUUCAAAUAGGCAAAGCCGACUCUACUCUAUUUACUCGCAAGUUUGAUAAUGAACUAUUUGUGUGCCAAAUAUAUGUCGAUAACAUUAUACUUGGCAGUACUAAUGAUGAGUUUUGUGGGGAAUUUAGCAGGGUAAUGAUGAAUAUGUUUGAGAUGUCUAUGAUGGGUGAGUUAAAGUUCUUCUGAGGAUUCCAAGUAAAACAAUUAAAGAAAGAGACUUUUCUAUGCCAAACCAAGUAUAUUUGGUUCAUACACCUAACCUAGGCCUUUGGUAUCCUAAAGACUCCACUUUCAAUUUGCUUCGCUACUCUGACUCAGAUUACAUCAGUUGUAAAGUAGAUAAAAAGUACCAUCGAGACUUGCCAAUUCGUUGGGCGGUCCUUAGUGUCGUGGAGUUCCAAGAAACAAAAUUGUGUUGCACUUUCCACUGCCGAGGCUGAGUAUAUAGCAGCUGAUGUUUGUUGCGCCCAAUUUUUAUGGAUGAAGCAAACCUUGAGGGAUUUUGGUUGUGAGUUUAGCAAAAUUCCGCUACUUUGUGUUAAUGAGAGUGCCAUAAAACUUUCAAACAAUCACGUGCAACACUUUAGAACUAAACACAUUGACAUUAGACAUCACUUCUUAAGAUACCAUGAGGACAAAGGAGAUAUCAAAAUAUGGCAUGUGAGUGCUGAGAACCAACUAGCCGAUAUCUUCAUCAUACCCCUAAAUGAGACUAGGUUUGUUUUCUCAGAAGUGAACUAAAUAUCUUGGACUCUCGUAACAUGUCUUGGAAAGUGUGUGCUUAAAAUUUGGAUGUUUCAUGUGCUGUAAAACUUUUUAAAAUGACUAAUUUCUAUAUAUUUAUACAAAUUUUUUUGUUAAGUUAGGCAAAAUAGAUGCCAUAAUGAAGAUCGCCAAAGGGUUUCUCUGAUAAUUUUCGGUUGAUAGAGUGAGUUGAAUAGGCCAUUCAACCAAAUUCUUCUCUGGUCAGACUUGGUUCAACCGGGGAAAAACUCGGUUCAACCGACUUUUGACCUGCUUUGCCAGUCAACCCUGCCAUCUGUCAGUUUGGCCUCGCAGACUGCUCUUCUAGAAAGUCGGUUCAACCGAGAUUAAACCCAAUUCAACUUAGUUUGCGCAGAGAGUCGACCGGGUUUAUUUCUUUUUUUCUCUUCUCUCUCUCUUCUCAUUCCUUAGUCGAGUUAUUUGAAAAGGAGACGCCGCCCCUUCUCUAUCCCCCUCUCAAACCCUCCCCUCAACCAAAAUAUUGAGCCAAAUCCAUUGAAACUUGGAGGACUUCAUCAUGUUGAGGUCCUCCACCUAUUCCCUCCAUUGAUUUGAAGUUUCGCGAGUGGAAUCGAUAGAUCGAGGUAAAGCUCUCUUCUCUAUCUUUUGCCCUGAUCUUUGGUUAUAGCUAAGGUCUUGUGAAUCCCUUUGAGUAAAAGGAUCUUGUGGAUGUAAGAAACAUAUUGCUCUAAGGGAUUUCUCUAAUUUAUUGACGUACUCGACGAAAAAGGGUAAUGAAUCGUUCAUGUGAGGUUGACCCGAAUAGUUGAACGGCAUAUAUUCCGUUCACUCUCUCUUCCUAUCAUUUGUUGAAUCACCAUUUGGUUAUUCUUUUUAUCUUAUACCUGUGUUUUUAGUUCAAGAAUGAAGAACUAGCCGGCGAUAAAUAUUUAAAAAAUAUUUGAAAACAGAGGUAAUAGUUUACAAUACAGUUUGAAACGGACAAAAAAAUUACAUGCACAGCCAGUAUUGAGACAUCUUCUACUCUCCUGUGCUUGCAAGUCGACGUGAUAAUUGGCGGUGCUUUAUUAAUUUGCUUAGGAGAUAAGGUCAUCCUCCUUGUGCGUCUCGAUGACGACGUCGGAGGUGGGGUACGCCACGCAGGUGAGCACCCAGCCGGCGGCGAUCUGGCCGUCGUCGAGGUAGCUCUGGUCGGACUGGUCCACGGAGCCGGAGACGACCUUGCCGGCGCAGGAGGAGCAGGACCCCGCGCGGCAGGAGUAGGGCAGGUCGAUGCCUUCCUCCUCGGCGUAGUCCAGGAUGUAGACGUCGUCGGGCACCUGCAGCUCCACCUCCCCCUCCGGCGUGAUGAGCUUCACGUUGUAGGUGGCCUGCGCGCGCAGCCUGCUGCUGGCGCCACCGCCACGGGUCAUGGCCACGGUAGUGGGCGCUGGCGCGGCGCGGAGGGAGAAGGAGAAGGCCGGCGCGCGGGGGCUGCUCAGGACGGUGGCCAUUUGUUUGCUAGCUGCGGGUAAUGGCUGGAGUGAGCGGCUGCUAGUGCUGGUCUGGUGGACAGAUAGCUUCCCUGCCCCAGAUAUGCGAAUGAGAUGAUGGAUGGAGUGAGUGCAGCCAGCGUGUAGGCUCUUAUCUUCUUGGCGCCAGAAUUUAUUUCGUCCACCCAUUCAAAAGACGCCGUUCGGCUGGCUUGCUUACAGUGGAUGCCCACAUAGCAUUCCAAUUUAUUUUGGAAAUCGGACUCCGACGCUCGCUAUAUGGUUGGAUCUUUGUUGCGACGGGACUUUUCUUUGAAUAUACUGUACCUGUUAUUUUUUAUUUGUCGUGGUUUAGUGCAAAAAUAAAUUAGUCAUCAACAAAUAUUUGAGAAUAAAGAUAGUAGAUAAUAAUAAAUACGUAAAAAGUUAGUUCGUC